rnacentral:lncRNA from 1 species
UUGGAGUAUGAUGACAUAAUGUAGACACAGUAAGACAAUUAAUAUGUUCGAACCCCAUCGUUUUACCCUUAAAAAUUAGAAGCAACUAGGUGAUACCCCGCGCAUUGCUGCGGUAAACUAUGCUACGAAUGUUCUUUAAAAAUUAAAUAUCAUAUGAAUACAAAGAUAAAUUGACAACCCUACAGAGCUGAUUAAUGUGCAAAAUAAAUAGCAAUGAUAGUGACACUUGUUUGGUUCUCACAUCAGUGUGGAAAGACAAACACCAAUAUGAUCUAACUAAGAGUUACUACACUAUGAUGUAAAAAAAAAGAGUUACUAUACUACAAAGUCCGCGGUGAAUAAGCUAAUAUGGUGAGGCGGAUAUGCCUUGGUGUGAUUCCAGUCCACUAAGAUUACAUGUCUGAGAGACCAAAAGAAGGACAAAAAUGGUGAGAAAUGUUUAACAAAGUCAUCACUACAUAGACCUAAAAAAAAUCUAAAAAUCCACAUAAUAAGUAAUGUAAAAUAUGUACUAUAUUCAGUUUCCAUUUAAAUUCAUCCAAUUUUAUUAAUUGAAAGAUUACUCACCAAGUUCAUUUACCAGCAGUACAUACUUGUGUCCUUCACGGCCAAUGAAGUAUGAGAACCAUGUUAAACUGCGUAUGGUACAUAUAUGCCAUGUUAAACUGCAAAAAACAUUUAAGCAUUCAGGUUUAAGUUGGUAAGUGGUGGCUAAGUGUAAGUAUGCUAGUUAAUUUUCAGUUCGGCUGCAUCCUUCCUAUACACAGGAGUUAAUUCAAAACAACAUAGGAUUGUACAAACUGUCGCGUACGGACGACAAAGUUCAAUCAUGAAAGAAGAUAGACCAUAAGUUGAUUGUCCAGCGUGAGAACUAAUACAGCGAGAAUACAUAAACUGGAAUUUGUAAUGCGUAGGUGAUCUUCUUUCUUUUCAUUUUUUUGCGAGUGAAAGCAUAGGUGAUCAAAGAGAUACAAAAUCGAUGCUGCUCCAUGGGUGAGAUCUUGAGAUGACCACCAAUACACAUGCGAUUGGCAGCAAUUCUUAAAAAUUAAGAAACAUGUACACUGACCUAUUUUUCUUCAGAAGUCUUAGAGAGGCUUCACAAUUUUCAUUGACAAAGAAGAAUGUUAGCUUGUCGGUUUCAUAAGCUGAACAUGCUGACAGAGAUAGCCCUAUAUUGAGAUAAAAGAAGGGUUAACUAACGUGAGUGACUGAAACUCCAAAGACAUUUGGCAAAAGUGAAAUAGGGUUCACAUCCACUGGUACUGUAUGCUAGACUGUGUUUAUUCUUACUUGCCAAAAUACAAUGGCCCUUUUGCAGGGGGAAAGUAAAUUGCUCUUUGCGUGGGACUGCUAGAUAUUGCAUUGCUUGAAAUUGUAUCUAAGAAAAGGUGAAAAACGACCGCUAAAUAUUUCACAUAUUCACAAAACUGAGAGAAAAACUAUCACUGACCAAAAAAAUAGAUCUCGCCUAGUCUCUAGUUGGAUCAUAAAGCACACGCUACAUCCUAUGAUUAAUUGGCAGACUGAAUACUUGCAUAAAGUUCAAUCAUGUGAUUCUACAUAAGACAUGGACCAGUAUGACCAUAGACCAUAGAACAUAAACAAUUAAAAACUAUAGUAGCUCAUACCUGAAACUCUCAUUCAGCUAUGCCCAUUCAUGGUGCCUAUCUACAAAGGACACAAUCUCAUUGUAAGCAUUCAUAUCAUAAGGAAAUCAUUGCUCCAUACUACAUAAAACCAUUAAAUGAAAAUCUGCAGAACAUACAUGGAAAAUUAAUUUUGCUGCAUCUGUAGCAAUGGCUUGUCUGCAAACAGUAGUGGGCAAAGUGUACAAAAUUUUCACAAUCUUCAUCAAACCUGACCGAGAAAAAGGAGAUGGUAGAUCAAGAUGCGUGAGGUGAUUUCCCCCUGAAUCUGGUACAUGAACAAAUUGAAUGUGUGGGAAGCAAGAGUCCAUGGAUUGGGGAUCAGUAAACGCAUCAUUAGGCUAGAAUAUUGAGCAGCUAGUAAGGGUGGGAGAUGUACCUUGUAGAUGAAUAUUGGCGGCCAUGGCGAAGGCUCCCGAUUUGUGCUGCGUGACAAAAGGAGACAAACAGGGGCCGAACCCUAGACCAGCAAUGAAUCAGAUUGAAUCGGGCCUACCCUAGGCAUGGUCGGAGAGAAGCGGGG